rnacentral:pre_miRNA from 1 species
UGCUCCCUCUCUCACAUCCCUUGCAUGGUGGAGGGUGAGCUUUCUGAAAACCCCUCCCACAUGCAGGGUUUGCAGGAUGGCGAGC